GACGAACGCUGGCGGCGUGCCUAAUACAUGCAAGUCGAGCGGAAUGAUUAGAAGUGCUUGCACUUCUAAUCAUUCAGCGGCGGACGGGUGAGUAACACGUAGGUAACCUGCCUGUAAGACUGGGAUAACUACCGGAAACGGUAGCUAAUACCAGAUUUUUUGUUUCCUCAUCUGAGGAGGCACUGAAAGGCGGAGCAAUCUGUCACUUAUAGAUGGGCCUGCGGCGCAUUAGCUAGUUGGUGAGGUAACGGCUCACCAGGGCGACGAUGCGUAGCCGACCUGAGAGGGUGAACGGCCACACUGGGACUGAGACACGGCCCACACUCCUACGGGAGGCAGCAGUAGGGAAUCUUCCGCAAUGGACGAAAGUCUGACGGAGCAACGCCGCGUGAGUGAUGAAGGUUUUCGGAUCGUAAAGCUCUGUUGCCAGGGAAGAAUAUUUGGGAGAGUAACUGCUCUCAAAGUGACGGUACCUGAGAAGAAAGCCCCGGCUAACUACGUGCCAGCAGCCGCGGUAAUACGUAGGGGGCAAGCGUUGUCC
rnacentral:rRNA from 1 species